AGGGAAUAGAGCCCUCGUGGGAUCCAGAACAACCAACAGAGCUCAUGUGUGGAAACCAGGGCUCCUUCACACCCACUUUUCUGAGGGACCGUGACAGAAAGAACCAAAAAUGAUGGAGCAGGAACUAUUUAAACCGCUGAAUUGGCACCACUCAGUAAGGAGAGAGAAUGGGCAGACCUGGUGCCAUGUUUCCAUGUUUCGCCAAAAUCAGAGAGACCAGAAAAACACAGUUUGACCUGGCCAGUU